rnacentral:lncRNA from 1 species
UUCUAAACUAAACAUUCAAACAAGUAUAAUGAUUAACUUUUAACCACAUACAUGCCUAUAACUAUUACAUUCACAUUACUUUUCAUCAUUUCUUUAAUACAUCUCAUUUUCUCCAAAAUGGAACUCUUUACAUUCAUUCGUCAUUUAUACAAUUACAUCUUCAAAAACAAAAGAAGAUAUGUAUCCAAAAGGGUAUGCAACUAAGCAAAUAAUAACACCGACUCGGGCGGUCACUGUCUACGGCGCGAUACCCUUACCGCGAUCGUCAACCGGCUCGCUCGGUCCCGGCUCUGUGGAAUAGUGGGGUGAGAACUACAACAAAGUUCCCAGUAGGUUCGGCUGCUGACCUCACCGACUUUCCCACUAGGUCUAAAUCAGGCAUAAUAGAGAAAUAAAGAGAGAGAUAGUAG